GUGCCCCGCGCGCCGCUGCUCCGCCCGCCCACGGCUGUAAACAGGGCGGCGAUGGCGACGGGUCUGGGCCGCGCUGUUAGGCUCUGAGCGCUGGGGCGCGGGGCCCGGGCUGCCGGCACACAUGGAUGACAGCAAGGUAGUUGGAGGAAAGGUAAAGAAACCAGGCAAGCGAGGUCGUAAACCAGCCAAGAUAGACUUGAAGGCAAAACUUGAAAGAAGUCGUCAGAGUGCAAGAGAGUGCAGAGCAAGGAAGAAGCUGAGGUACCAGUACCUAGAAGAGCUGGUUUCAAGCAGAGAGCGAGCCAUCUGCGCUCUCAGAGAAGAGCUUGAAAUGUACAAACAGUGGUGCAUGGCGAUGGACCAAGGGAAAAUCCCCUCUGAAAUAAAAGCCCUGCUAACUGGAGAGGAGCUGGGCAAAGCACAGCAGAACUCAACCAAACUUGCCAAGGCUGGGAAGACAGAAGCAAACGGCAGCAAUCCCUGAGGCCAAUGCAGAAUCUUCCACACUGCAGCAAAUGUAGCUUGGUAGCUAGCAGAAGAAUGCUGUUGUCAGAGAAGUGGAUGCAUCGCUGGGUGCAGGGGGAAGGAUCCCAGCCUGCUGUCUUCUCUUUGCUCCUCCCCACAUGAAAAUCUUUGAUUGUGGCAUUCCUAAGCCUGCAUGGAGUGAGGCUUUUGGGGUAGUAGGUCUUGGCAUAAGCAGAGCCUUGUUCUUCCUUUCUCUACGCCACCUUCCCCAAAUACAGCUAUGGCAGCCUUUGGGCCUUCCCAAUAAGAGAUGGGGGCUACUUUUGUGUUGGAGCCCAGAAGUACACUGGCUUUGUGAUCAGUAGUUAUGUGGUUAGCAUGUGGGAGCUGGAGAGGUUCUGUAAAGUAAAAGCAAAAGGAAGAUCUUGUAAUAGCAUUGCUAAAGCCAAAUGGAGUACUCUAUGUUGAGGAGAAAGACCUGGGUCAAAAGCUUUCAGUAAGAAAGUUUAUACUACUUUAAUUUGUAACCUAAAUAAAGACAUUGCUUUCAGCAACUUUUCGUAAUGCAGCAUGUCUUCUUUGUUAUUGGAGCUCUUCAAGAGAUGUACUAGAUAUAUGCCCUGCUUCUGCCUAUACUUCUUUCAGAGAAUGUAUUCCCCUCCCCGAGACCCUGCUCCUGAUAAGAUCAUCAAAGCAUCUCCCUCCACCCUGCUUCCAGCAGGGAAACAGCUGCUGUCUUCUCCCACCUAUCAUGUCCUGCUAUCUUUCCAUAUCUGCCUACACUUUGGUCUCUAGUAUCUUUCUAGCCUGCAAUUUAAUAGGAAUUCUGCUGUGCUAUCCUGGUUUCCCAGAAAAAGAUAAGGCCAAGAAAUAGUAGCAAGGAAAAUGAAUUGCAUUGAUUUAAUCUUACAGUAAGAGAGUUGAUGGCAAAUAUCUUGUGGGUUGAUUUAAUUGUCCAAGAUAUUGACAGACGAUCUGCCAGUUUCCUUAAACUGUUCUUUCUCCUGUAUUUGCUUUUUUGCACGUAUGUGAUGUGAUCUGGAGAGUAAAGUUCUCGGUAUUUUCAGUGGGGAUUUUGCUUGCUUAUUCUGUUUCGUUUGUGACAGUGCCUUUCUCUGUAUUUUAUGAAAUGCAUGGAACAUUUUUUUAAUCUUUUGUUUUCUUCUUUGUUUCAUAGAAUAAAUAUUAUAAUGAAUGACUUUGCUAGACUGAGUGUUGCCUUCUUCUAUUGAACUAAUUGGAUCUGUUUAGCAUUAUCUCAAUUCAGGAUUAGUCAAAAGCACUGGAAACAAGUGCCAUAUUUCAAUGUGCAGCACAGUUGUUCUCAGAAUUGUCUUCUGAGCACUGAUAUUAAUCCUUAAGGCAUAGUUUAAAGUUUAUGCACAAGAUCCUCCACACAUACUUCACGAUUGCUAGAAAUGUUGCGUAGACACGGAAAACUAUUGUGAAAGGUUAAGUAACACUGAAGCAGAGAUGGGGAGGAUACAAGGGUUCCCACGCACCCUGUAUUUUAAUUUCUGAACUGCAGUUUGUCCUGCAAGAUAAGAACAAAGCCAACCCAUAAGUUUUGGAGGUUUUGUUUGUGUUGAAUGCUUAUCUGUCACUUUUCUGGGUUCUCUGGAGUUGGGGAGGAACCCAACUAGGCCAGAUGUCCAUAGCUAUACCCUGUGAACCCUGCAGUUGGAUUUUGUAACAUGAUCAUGCCAGAAGUGUAAUGUAUUAUUUUUGGUUAGAAUUAGACUUACUUAGUGCCUCUAGUUUCAAAUGUAAACUAUGUGUUGUAAUUAAACAUAUAUUUCAAAGGUUAUGCAUGUACUUUAGUGGCUUUCUGAAUCAGUGAUAUAGAAAACACACAGAGGAGUUACAGUAUGUGUGAGCAGAACAGCUCCACUCUGCACAAGGGUAUGUGACAAACACAGCUCUGAUCUCACCAGAAAUAUGCUACUUGUUCAUUGCCCCUAAUUUCUCUUAGUGAUGAGCAACAGUUUUCAUCUGUUCCUCAUUGCAGUGGCUCCUGCUUCCUGGCUUUCCCAGCAGUUGGCUUUAUAGGAUUGCAUUUGACAAGCCUGGGCCCAGCUCUGUAGCACAAAUAGCGGCAUGCGUGUUCUAACAAGUAUUUUGUGCUUCAUGCAGAUGAGACAGGAGGCAUGUUACAGCCUCCAUCAUCUUCAACUGUUUCUAUGUUAGUCCUGCAAGCCAAAAUAAGUGCAACACAGAUUUAGAGGCUCUAACUGUGGUCUUCCAAACUGCUCUAGAUGCUGUAGUUCACUAUGAAAUGUAGGAUUCCCAGCAAUGAACAUUAAUUAGAAAAAGCUCUCUGGCUUCCAUCACAUGGCAGAUUGUGCUAGAAAUGUUCUGGGCUUGGAUGGAUCUCCAAGAGGAAAUAAGCCUGGAAAUGCUUCAUUUUCCUGCUUGCCAUGGAAAUUUAAUGUUCAGCUAUAACCAUUUACCCAACUGAAGGGUGAAGAUUAAUCUACAUCAAUAGGGAAUCUAGUUCUUUCUGGCAUCCUAUGAAGAGGUGGAGAAGAUUUGGCAUCAGAGUCCUAUCUGCUACUUUCCAAGAAAUUAUAAUCUACCUAAUUAGCUAUAAAACUACUGUUAAUAAAAGGACCAAAUGUUUGAAACUAGUCUAAAAAUGUAGAGAAAUCAAAAAGAAAAGCUGAAAUAAGAACCUUAGUCCUUCUCAUUAUGCUUAAGAGUUACAGAACGAAUGACACAGGCUGAUGAAGAAGUUCUUGCAGUAGGAAACAAAAGCAAAACACUGUCUUUUGAGUGUCCUGCUGUUACUGCCACCGAGCAUUAAUUUCUCUUAAGGUUUGUCAAUAACUGAAUUUCUUGUAUGAUUCUGCUGUGGAUUUGCACGAGAAAAUGGGUGCUUCUAAUCUGCGGUAAAAUCUGAAGAGUCCCAUACUGAGUAGUGCAUUUGUGGACUAAAAUUUGACUGGUGCUGUAUUUGUGGAAUGUAUAGAUUUGUAUAUGUAGAUAUAGGAUUAGAAUUUGUAGUGUCAGUUAUAGCCAUUACUGUAAGACAUUUUGGCAAAGGCUGUUGCUUGUUAUUAUUUAUACCAUUAUUUGUAUUUUCUUUUUAUUACUCACUUUAAAUUGUAACUAGAAAAUGCUGUCAGUGUUCAGCUAAUGGUUUUCAGUGGUACUUCAUUAAAAAAAAUCCAAAAACUUGAACAACUGACUUUCCGUUUCUUUUAUUCUUCCAUAAAAAGCACUUGGGAGGUGGAGGUUGUGCUUCUGUAACUACUGUGAGAUUAGCCCUGUUUCUUUGUGUGUCUGCCUUUAACUCGCAACUGGCUUAACUGCUGCUUCAAGCAAUUCUUGGGUGUGAUCUCUACAUAUUAGAGUGAACACUGGUGGCGUUCUUAACUAUGCUGUAGCUGAUAGG